rnacentral:rRNA from 1 species
UACAGAGGGGGCAAGCGUUAUUCGGAAUUACUGGGCGUAAAGGGCGCGUAGGCGGCCACCGCAAGUCGACUGUGAAAUCUCCGGGCUUAACCCGGAAAGGUCAGCCGAUACUGCAGGGCUAGAGUGCAGAAGGGGCAACUGGAAUUCUCGGUGUAGCGGUGAAAUGCGUAGAUAUCGAGAGGAACACCUGCGGCGAAGGCGGGUUGCUGGGCUGACACUGACGCUGAAGCGCGAAAGCUAGGGGAGCGAACGGG